GAUAGAUGCACUUCGGUGCAUCUCCUCCCUGAACCUUGGCCGCCUCUUGCGUAAUGCGAGAGGCGGUUUUUUUUGGCCGCU
rnacentral:sRNA from 1 species